GGCACGCGUGGGGGGAGCCGCGGGGGUGGUACGGUCCAUCCGCGGGGUUUCCGACCCCCGCCCGCAGCCGGCUCCCGGCGGUUCAAGUUUCUGCGCCCAGAGGACGCGGCCUUGGCCAAUCCCAGGGCUACAGGGCGCUUUUAAAAUGCAGCGCAUUUACGGCGCGUCUACCGCCGGCAGGCGGGGUGGAGGGGUGUCCCUCCCCCGGAACCUGCAACGAGAUCAAACCCGCGCACGCGACAGUGAGCGGCCCACUGCCAGGAGCGCGCGCCCGCGCAGCAGCUGAUGCCCCGUUUACAGUUGCUACGCCAUUCAUUCAGCUGUGUACUCAGCGCCUACUCGCCGCGGGGCCUGCUCCAGCCCCGGGGAAUUCUGCAGGGCACCGGACUGCCCUCUGCGAGGGACUUGGCGUCCUGGGAGCAGGAUGGGGAGAAGACACACGAGCUAGAUCACAAUAAAACUUGUCUUAAGUGCUA